rnacentral:rRNA from 1 species
CAGUCGCCGCGGUAAUACGUAGGUGGCAAGCGUUGUCCGGAAUUAUUGGGCGUAAAGGGCUCGCAGGCGGUUUCUUAAGUCUGAUGUGAAAGCCCCCGGCUCAACCGGGGAGGGUCAUUGGAAACUGGGAAACUUGAGUGCAGAAGAGGAGAGUGGAAUUCCACGUGUAGCGGUGAAAUGCGUAGAGAUAUGGAGGAACACCAGUGGCGAAGGCGACUCUCUGGUCUGUAACUGACGCUGAGGAGCGAAAGCGUGGGGAGCGAACAGGAUUAGAUACCCCCGUAGUCCCUGUCUCUUAUAC